rnacentral:rRNA from 1 species
UACGGAGGGUGCAAGCAUUGAUCGGAAUUACUGGGCGUAAAGGGCGCGUAGGCGGCUAGAAAAGUCAGAUGUGAAAUUCCGGGGCUCAACCCCGGAGCUGCAUUUGAAACUCUCUGGCUAGAGGGAACUUAGGGAAAACGGAAUUCCACGUGUAGCGGUGAAAUGCGUAGAUAUGUGGAAGAACACCAGUGGUGAAGACGGUUUUCUAGGGUUUUCCUGACGCUGAGGCGCGAAAGCUAGGGGAGCAAACAGG